AGCAAAACUCUACUACACGAAGUCUGGAAUCACACGCACAUCUAUAGCCUUGGUCGAACUACUGCUGAGCACGCACGUCUAUAGCCUUGGUCGAACUACUGUAGGAACAAGAAAUUGAAAUUCAUCAGUUUUGGUGUGUUUUGAUGGUGUAGCAUGAGUUCUGGGUUUCCUGCAUAGGGCGUGGGAGGAAUAUCUUGCUUUCUUUAUGGGAAUUUGAAGCAAUUCCAACACUCCCUAAUUCAACUUACCGAUCUACGACAAGUAAAACCAAGACUUUUUCUAGACAGACAUCGAGGGGCUCCAUGGACGUGAAUCACUUUCGCUAUAUCACAUGAGUAGUCUCUCAAGUCGCAAGUCGAGCCCCUUCCUUCGUUGUAGCCGACAUGUUGCUUGGUCUUUUUUUAAGUGCAUAAUUCUUCAAUUUCAAAUUCAAUCAGCAAAAAGCGUCCAACUUCUGAAUUCUAAUGAUGACUGUUCUUUUCAACUGCAAAUUCAAUCUGCCAAAAAAGCGUCCAGGUUCUGAAUUCUAAUGUCUCUGUUCCUUCUCCAAAUUUGACCAAAUGUUCGUUCAAGCCAUUGUUUCGUAAUCAAACAUGUCAUGGAUUUUGACUUUGGAGAGUUCAUUGAUAUUGAGCUAUAAUUUUGGUUCGGUUUC